rnacentral:misc_RNA from 1 species
GCAAACUUGGUCAUUUAGAGGAAGUAAAAGUCGUAACAAGGUUUCCGUAGGUGAACCUGCGGAAGGAUCAUUAAUGAAUUUAAUGUGGAGUUGGUUGUAGCUGGUCCAUUUGGUUUUUUUAAAUAAUUUCCUUUGGGCAUGUGCACACCUUCUCUUUCAUCCACACACACCUGUGCACUUGUGAGGCAGAUGUGAGGACUUUAUUGUACUCCUCUGUCUACUUAAUUGACACACACUCUAUUUAUUUUAAAAUGAAUGUAAUUGAUGUAACGCAUCUAAUACUAAGUUUCAACAACGGAUCUCUUGGCUCUCGCAUCGAUGAAGAACGCAGC